GCCAGCAUGGUGUAGUGGUUUGAGUGUUGGACUAUGACUCUGGAGACCAGGGUUCAAAUCCCAACUCAGCCA
rnacentral:tRNA from 1 species